GUGGGGAAUAUUGGACAAUGGGCGCAAGCCUGAUCCAGCCAUGCCGCGUGAGUGAUGAAGGCCUUAGGGUUGUAAAGCUCUUUCAGUGGGGACGAUAAUGACGGUACCCACAGAAGAAGCCCCGGCUAACUUCGUGCCAGCAGCCGCGGUAAUACGAAGGGGGCUAGCGUUGUUCGGAUUUACUGGGCGUAAAGCGCACGUAGGCGGAUCGUUAAGUCGGGGGUGAAAUCCUUGAGCUCAACUCCAGAACUGCCUUCGAUACUGGCGAUCUUGAGUCCGGAAGAGGUGAGUGGAACUCCUAGUGUAGAGGUGGAAUUCGUAGAUAUUAGGAAGAACACCAGUGGCGAAGGCGGCUCACUGGUCCGGUACUGACGCUGAGGUGCGAAAGCGUGGGGAGCAAACAGGAUUAGAUACCCCAGUAGUCC
rnacentral:rRNA from 1 species